rnacentral:rRNA from 1 species
CCCUCGGAUGGUCGCAUGGCCGACCGAGGAAAGAUUCAUCGCUUCAGGAGGGUCUCGCGGCCUAUCAGCUAGUUGGUGGGGUAACGGCCUACCAAGGCAACGACGGGUAGCUGGUUUGAGAGAACGAUCAGCCACACUGGGACUGAGACACGGCCCAGACUCCUACGGGAGGCAGCAGUGGGGAAUCUUGCGCAAUGGGCGAAAGCCUGACGCAGCAACGCCGCGUGCGGGAUGACGGCCUUCGUGGUUGUAAACCGCUUUCAGCAGGGACGAAAAUGACGGUACCUGCAGAAGAAGCCCCGGCUAACUACGUGCCAGCAGCCGCGGUAAUACGUAGGGGGCAAGCGUUGUCCGGAUUCAUUGGGCGUAAAGAGCUCGUAGGCGGUUCAGUAAGUCGGGUGUGAAAGCUCCGAGCUCAACUCGGAGAGGCCACCCGAUACUGCUGUGACUUGAGUCCAGUAGAGGAGCGUGGAACUCCUGGUGUAGCGGUGGAAUGCGCAGAUAUCAGGAAGAACA